AUUGAACGCUGGCGGCAGGCUUAACACAUGCAAGUCGAGCGGAGUGAUGGUGCUUGCACUAUCACUUAGCGGCGGACGGGUGAGUAAUGCUUAGGAAUCUGCCUAUUAGUGGGGGACAACAUCUCGAAAGGGAUGCUAAUACCGCAUACGUCCUACGGGAGAAAGCAGGGGAUCACUUGUGACCUUGCGCUAAUAGAUGAGCCUAAGUCGGAUUAGCUAGUUGGUGGGGUAAAGGCCUACCAAGGCGACGAUCUGUAGCGGGUCUGAGAGGAUGAUCCGCCACACUGGGACUGGGAAACGGCCCAGACUCCUACGGGAGGCAGCAGUGGGGAAUAUUGGACAAUGGGGGGAACCCUGAUCCAGCCAUGCCGCGUGUGUGAAGAAGGCCUUAUGGUUGUAAAGCACUUUAAGCGAGGAGGAGGCUCUUUUGGUUAAUACCCAAGAUGAGUGGACGUUACUCGCAGAAUAAGCACCGGCUGACUCUGUGCCAGCCGCCGCAGUAA
rnacentral:rRNA from 1 species